rnacentral:rRNA from 1 species
GAGUUUGAUCGUGGCUCAGGACGAACGCUGGCGGCGUGCUUAACACAUGCAAGUCGUACGAGAAAGUUCCCUUCGGGGGAUGAGUACAGUGGCGCACGGGUGAGUAACGCGUAAGUAAUCUGCCCCUUGGUCUGGCAUAACUCCGGGAAACCGGGGCUAAUAGCAGAUGAUAUCGUAAGAUCAAAGCCUUCGGGCGCCAAGGGAUGAGCUUGCGUCCCAUUAGCUAGUUGGCGGGGUAACAGCCCACCAAGGCGACGAUGGGUAGCUGGUCUGAGAGGAUGAUCAGCCACAUUGGGACUGAGACACGGCCCAGACUCCUACGGGAGGCAGCAGUGAGGAAUAUUGCGCAAUGGACGAAAGUCUGACGCAGCAACGCCGCGUGC